rnacentral:lncRNA from 1 species
AAAAGAAAAAUGCUCAAAGUGCCUGGGGUGCGCAAAUUUAAAAAGAAGGAACAUGGCAGGGAUGGGAUGGAUCCUAUCUUGUCUUCACCUUGCCUUGUGUUCUUCACCUAGUCGUGUGUGUGUGUGUGUGUGUGUGUGUGUGUGUGUGUGUGUGUGUGUGUGUGAAAAACAGUUUGGUUGUCAUGGUUUAUACCUAGCAGGUGACACAUUGGCUGUCCUUUGCUCCAUGUCUCAAGCAAAGAAAUUAGGAGGGUACAAUUGCUUGUUUCUAGCAGCAGCUGUUGAUCUUGCUUCCUUUGGUGGAAGCUCUCUUGGUGGGCCGAUAGUGCAGUGUGUUCCCGAGAUACCACAUUGUUACACUUCGUGUGACGAUAUUUGCUGCAUGCUGCACAAUAAGAAAUGCUAUCUGUUUAUUGCAAAAUUUUGUGUGCAUAUUGCACAAGCCAAACAUGCACCAAGAGAGUUAGUGCUUUUCACAUAUAGCCAGUGAAUCGAAGGAUAUUAUUUCCAAUAAUUUUGUUAGAAAUAAGGUUGACAUAAAUUGUUCAAAUAUUUGCUUAUGUGAUGUACCAACUUGUGCCUGCGCAUGUUUGGUUAUGCUGUAAUAGCUUGAUAUCCACAUUACCGGGUACCAUGCUUUUUGUGUGCCAUGCGAUGCCUGCAGCUCAAGAUCCACUGCCGUGGCGAUGAGUGCCUCUGGUGAAUGCUUUGCUGGCUAAAUCUAGUGAGCACGUGUGAAUACUGAAGAAAAUGAAUGGGAGGGUGGCUGCAGCAGUAGUGUGUGUUCAACUUUCGUAUUUCUCAAGGGGCUGAUGACAUUGAGGAGUCGAGACCUUUGGGACAUGUCGGGACACUCCCCUUAGUUUUCACAUACUUAUUACCAGGAUGUGUGCCUUGUUGUUUUGAUGAGAAGUGUUUUGCACCACCUUCUUCUUUUACUGUAGUAAACAUUAUGAAUGAAAUAGCCAGAUGCUGACAGGAAACCAAUGAGCAGUUGGGGACAUUCUGGCACAAGCUUGUUUCAGGGAAAAAAAAGAUGCAGUAUGAAUGGUCAAAAAUAGAAAGCAGUUUCGAGUGACAUUUCAGAGAAACAGCAUUUGCUACUGUCGAAUGUCCACAUGGUGUGUAAGGGGGCAGUGGAGUAAAAAAUUGUGACCUCUGUAAGCAAAUGUGUUGCGCGUUCUUGAUUUGCAGUCAAGAAAACAUACCUUUAUGUUGUUACGUUAUGUUAACCUGUUGUGUUGUUUUCUGUAUUGCUUCAGUGAAUGAUGAUUUGAGAGAUAUACUCCGGGCAUCCUUUAUAUAUUUGUAGAUUAAAGCCAGGUUUCAUGCUUGGAGCUGUGGAGAGCUUGGUUUUUAAGAGUUCAAUGAAGGUUGUUGUUUUAUUGUGCGACCAAUUUCAAAGCACAUUGCUUCAGGCAUGGAGCGCAGGAAUAUUUGAGUUACCUAAAUCUCGUGUGCCAGUGUCAUACGAGACUCCGAUGACAAACAUGUGCUGUUACCAUGCUGCCAAAAAUGAAGCCCAUUCGACAACUCCGUGAGAUAUUAAGAGCAAGGGAGUCCUUCUGUGUUUCCAACACAAGUGCACAAUUGGAAGGGACAGUUUGGCAGCUUUUGGCCACAAUUGCUGUAGGGCCCUCGUCCACUGAACUAGAUCCAGCUGGCAUACACUUCAGUUAUCCUUGAUACCAGGUGAUCACCGCUUAAGUAGUCUCCUGUUCUAUGUACCUUAAGCUGUACGGGGCUCCGCACGCUUUUAAUUGGCUGACUCAAAGGUGAUUGCACUCUUUAGCAGUUCAGCCUUUAUGUCAUAACUAUGGAGUCCACAGCUCCGAAAAAAAAAAAAUUCUGGAAAAUUCAGAUGAAAUAUUGUUGAGUCAGUGCUGCCUUGCAGUUGUUGUGUCAAUGUGCCGAGAUAAAAGCUUGGUGUGUAGGCUUCUAGAUACAUUGGAUCAUCAGUGUAUUGAGCUGAAGUUCUGUUCUGUUGGUGAUCAUCUGAAGGGUAUGCAAAGUGUUAACUUGUAUUACGUUCAUAUGGUCAGUAAUCGUUUCCAUCCACUUUAGCAGGUGUAGUCGCAAAGGUGCUUAGCAUGAGGCAGCCAAGACAAUGACACACGAAUGCUCACACUGUCAUUGUAGCGUUCAUUGCUUUGCACUGCACAACUCUGCAAGAACAAUGGAUUGCCAACUAGCUCAGUCUGCAAUUAUUCCAGAUUAUAGUUUACCGCGUUAUGUCAGUUUGCACCUAACAUUGAACUUGUUCUCUGCUUUAGUAAAAAAAAAAAAAAAAACCUGGAACCCAGCUAUGCAGUGCAAAUGCUUACUCAGUGCAAGCCUUAAA